UUUUGUUUUUUUUGCUUUCUGUUUUCUAUUUAGUAAGUAUAUUUAUUGUACAUGCAUAGUUGAAAGUCUUGUCUAUGGCAUAGCAUUGAAGUAUUGGCCUUAUGACACACAUUCUGUGAAGUCACACAAAGGAGACGGACAUGAAACAUGAGGACAAUGGCAAAAUUACUAAUCUUAAAUUACUUUGGAGAAGUACAGUAUAAAAGUAAUUAAACUAUGGCUUAUCUUUAUGAUAAGUUUGGUUUCAAAAAAAAAAUCAAAUGUAUAGUUCAUUGAACUUGUGAAAAAUCAUAAUUACUCAUGCGUAUGUACAUAUUUACAUACUCGUAUCUAUGACAAAUGCGAAUGACCUGGCCAUUCCGUAAUACCCCAGUGGAGUGGAGUCUCUACUAUAGUCUACGAAUACUAUUUGCUUCCAGCCCAGACAGCGAGAUAGAUAUAUAUAUAUAUUUCUCCAAAAAAAUAUUUGCAUGUUCCAUAUACAUGAAACCACACAGAGAGACAGAACGACAGAUAAACAGACUUUCGGCUAUAUUCGAAUUGGAAUAGGAAUUUCCAUGCCAAAAUAACAACAACAAAAACUUAAAGUUUGUAUUUUAAUGAGUUAUGAGUGCAAAAUGUGGGG